rnacentral:rRNA from 1 species
GACGAACGCUGGCGGCGUGCUUAACACAUGCAAGUCGAACGGAAAGGCCCCUUUGGUGGUACUCGAGUGGCGCACGGGUGCGUAACACGUGAGUAACCUGCCCUUGACUUCGGGAUAACUUCAGGAAACUGGGGCUAAUACCGGAUAGGAAUCCUUUCUUCAUGGUGGGGGUUGGAAAGCUUCGGCGGUUUUGGAUGGACUCUCGGCUUAUCAGCUUGUUGGUGGGGUAGUGGCUUACCAAGGCUUUGACGGGUAGCCGGCCUGAGAGGGCGACCGGCCACAUUGGGACUGAGGUAAGGCCCAGACUCCGAAGGGAGGCAGAAGGGGGGAAUAUUGAACAAUGGGCGGAGGCCUGAUGCAGCAACGCCGCGUGCGGGAUGACGGCCUUCGGGUUGUAAAACGAUUUCAGCAGGGGCGAAGCUUGUGGUGACGGUACCUGCAGAAGAAGCACCGGCUAACUACGUG